rnacentral:rRNA from 1 species
UACGUAGGGUGCAAGCGUUGUCCGGAAUUAUUGGGCGUAAAGAGCUCGUAGGCGGUUUGUCGCGUCUGCUGUGAAAUCCCGAGGCUCAACCUCGGGCCUGCAGUGGGUACGGGCAGACUAGAGUGCGGUAGGGGAGAUUGGAAUUCCUGGUGUAGCGGUGAAAUGCGCAGAUAUCAGGAGGAACACCGAUGGCGAAGGCAGGUCUCUGGGCCGAUACUGACGCUGAGGAGCGAAAGCGUGGGGAGCGAACAGG